rnacentral:snRNA from 12 species
CAGUGCUUACAGCUCUUUUUGAAUUUGUCCAGCAGGUCUUCCGGCUCGUCCCGGAAGGCCCUC